UGGGCGGCCUGGACGGGUGACUACAAAGCCCAGCGGCCCUGACGGCUGGGAGAGACCGAUAAACCUAAAGCGGACCGCGGGAGUGAAUAAUCUCUCUUUGUGGUGAGGGGUUCCUGGGUGGUCGCGGAACGUGACUGACUCUGUGAGCUAGGAAAGGGAAGUGGAGGUCUCUGAAAGAAGAUGAACUUGGCUGAGAUUUGUGACAAUGCAAAGAAAGGAAGAGAAUAUGCACUUCUUGGAAAUUAUGACUCAUCAAUGGUAUAUUACCAAGGGGUGAUCCAGCAGAUUCAGAGACAUUGCCAGUCAGUUAGAGACCCGGCUAUCAGAGGCAAAUGGCAACAGGUUCGGCAGGAAUUAUUGGAAGAAUAUGAACAAGUUAAAAGUAUUGUCAACACUUUGGAAAGUUUUAAAAUUGACAAGCCCCCAGAUUUCCCUGUGUCCUGUCAAGAUGAACCAUUUAGAGAUCCUGCUGUUUGGCCGCCCCCUGUACCUGCAGAGCACAGAGCUCCACCUCAGAUAAGGCGUCCCAAUCGAGAAGUAAAACCUCUGAGGAAAGAAAUGCCAGGAGCAGGAGCCCGGGGACCUGUAGGUCGAGCACAUCCUAUAUCGAAGAGUGAGAAGCCCUCUACAAGUAGGGACAAGGAUUGUAGAGCAAGAGGGAGAGAUGACAAGGGAAGAAAAAAUAUGCAAGAUGGUGUGAGUGAUGGUGAAAUUCCAAAAUUUGAUGCUGCUGGAUAUGAUAAGGAUCUGGUAGAAGCCCUUGAGAGAGAUAUUGUGUCCAGAAAUCUUAGCAUUCAUUGGGAUGACAUAGCAGAUCUGGAAGAAGCUAAGAAGUUGCUAAGGGAAGCUGUUGUUCUUCCCAUGUGGAUGCCUGACUUCUUCAAAGGGAUUAGAAGGCCCUGGAAGGGUGUGCUGAUGGUUGGACCCCCAGGGACUGGUAAGACCAUGCUAGCUAAAGCUGUUGCCACUGAAUGUGGCACAACAUUCUUCAAUGUUUCCUCCUCUACACUGACAUCCAAAUAUAGAGGUGAAUCUGAGAAAUUAGUCCGUCUGUUGUUUGAAAUGGCUAGAUUUUACGCCCCCACUACGAUCUUCAUUGAUGAGAUAGAUUCUAUCUGCAGUCGAAGAGGGACCUCUGAUGAGCACGAAGCAAGUCGCAGAGUCAAGUCUGAGCUACUCAUUCAGAUGGAUGGUGUUGGAGGAGCUUUAGAGAAUGAUGAUCCUUCCAAAAUGGUUAUGGUAUUGGCUGCUACUAAUUUCCCAUGGGAUAUUGAUGAAGCUUUGCGAAGAAGAUUAGAGAAGAGGAUUUAUAUACCUCUCCCAACAGCAAAAGGAAGAACCGAGCUUCUAAAGAUCAAUCUUCGUGAGGUUGAAUUGGAUCCUGAUAUUCAACUGGAAGAUAUAGCAGAGAAGAUAGAGGGCUAUUCUGGUGCUGAUAUAACUAAUGUUUGCAGGGAUGCAUCCUUAAUGGCAAUGAGACGGCGCAUCAAUGGCUUAAGUCCAGAAGAGAUCCGUGCACUUUCUAAGGAGGAGCUUCAGAUGCCUGUUACCAAAGGAGACUUUGAGUUGGCUCUUAAAAAAAUUGCCAAGUCUGUCUCUGCUGCAGACUUGGAGAAGUAUGAAAAAUGGAUGGUUGAAUUUGGAUCUGCUUGAAUUCCUGUCGGCUCUUCCAUUUCUGGUGGGAGAGGAUGGCAGGAGUGUGCUGGAGUUGGGUAUUUUCCUCCCGCAGGCCAGCUAUUUCCUUCUUAGAUCCAAGAGCUCUCAAGCUUUGAAGAUAAAAGAACGGGCUGUUUCACAGCUCAGAACUUUCCAUGACAUGUUCCUGAGACAGGAAGUGAAUUUGCAAUCCUCGAUGGUCCGGUCCAGUCGGUCCUUUCUGGAGAGCAGUCUGACUCAGUGGCAGCACCUGCGCCUGCUUUCCUGGCCUGGCAGGACGCUGAGUUAGAGUGGGCACUGCUGGGACCCCGCACACCAGCUCGGAGGCACAGGGCCUUAGGGGACCAGCAGCCCCGCUGGAAAAUGGGGGACUCAUGUUUGUCAAUGACAGCACUAAAAGA